rnacentral:rRNA from 1 species
NCAACUUUCAACAACGGAUCUCUUGGCUCUCGCAUCGAUGAAGAACGCAGCGAAAUGCGAUAAGUAAUGUGAAUUGCAGAAUUCAGUGAAUCAUCGAAUCUUUGAACGCACCUUGCGCUCCUUGGUAUUCCGAGGAGCAUGCCUGUUUGAGUGUCAGUAA